CUCUUCCCAUUUCGAACAGAGAAGUUAAGCCUAAUAGCGCAGAUGGUACUGCCAUUUGGUGGGAGAGUAUGUCACCGCCUUCU
rnacentral:rRNA from 1 species